AGCAGGCGAGGAUGGCAGCGUUGUCUUUGGAGCCAGGGGAGCAGUGGUGGAAGCCGAAGGCCAGGCCAGGCUCCGUGGGGACGAGACCCCUCCAGUGGCGGUGGUGGCAGGAGAGAUCCCAAGGCUGGAGCGGAUUGAGCGUGAUCCCACGGUGACGUCCCACGUCCUCUUGGGUGUUGUGAAUGGUUGCGUGUUUGAAUGGACUGUGUGGGAAUUACUGAAUCCGUCAAUGAAGUAACACACGCGAACGAGGCACAGAGACUCCGUCACGGACCAGUGAUGAGGCGCGUGACGGGAAGAGUCCUGAAGGAUGAAAGCAUCUCUGAAACUCUGAGGUCUG